rnacentral:rRNA from 1 species
AGCGAACGCUGGCGGCAGGCCUAACACAUGCAAGUCGAACGACGUCUUCGGACUUAGUGGCGGACGGGUGAGUAACACGUUGGAACGUACCUUUGGUUCGGAACAACUCAGGGAAACUUGAGCUAAUACCGGAUGAGCCCUUCCGGGGAAAGAUGUAUCGCCGAACGAGCGGCCCGCGUUAGAUUAGCUCGUUGGGGAGGUACAGGCUCACCACGGCUACGUUCUAUAGCUGGUCUGAGAGGAUGGUCAGCCACACUGGGACUGGGACACGGCCCAGAAUCCUACGGGAGGCGGCAGUGGGGAGUCUUGCGCGAUGGGCGAAAGCCUGACGCAGCCAUGCCGCGUGAGUGAUGAAGGUCUUAGGAUUGUAAAAUUCUUUUACCAGGGACGAUAGUGACGGUACCUGGAGAAAAAGCCCCGGCUAACUUCGUGCCAGCAGACGCCGCAGUAA